UUAAACUAAAGAGUUUGAUCCUGGCUCAGAUUGAACGCUGGCGGCAUGCCUUACACAUGCAAGUCGAACGGCAGCACGGAGCUUGCUCUGGUGGCGAGUGGCGAACGGGUGAGUAAUAUAUCGGAACGUACCCUGGAGUGGGGGAUAACGUAGCGAAAGUUACGCUAAUACCGCAUACGAUCUAAGGAUGAAAGCAGGGGACCGCAAGGCCUUGUGCUCCUGGAGCGGCC
rnacentral:rRNA from 1 species